rnacentral:rRNA from 1 species
AGAGUUUGAUCAUGGCUCAGAACGAACGUGGCGGCGUGGAUUAGGCAUGCAAGUCGAACGAAUCUCUGUCUUGUAGCAAUACCGGGCAGGGGGAAGUGGCGAAAGGGGCAGUAAAGCGUGGGUAACCUACCCUGGGGAUGGGCAUAGCCGUUCUAACGAGCGGGUAAUACCCAGCGAUUCGGCCGAGGGGACAUCCUCUUGCCGGGAAAUGAGUUUCGCCUCGGGAGGGGCUCACGUGCUAUUAGCUAGUUGGCGGGGUAACGGCCCACCAAGGCAAAGAUGGCUAGCGGGUGUGAGAGCACGACCCGCGCCACUGGCACUGAGACACUGGCCAGACACCUACGGGUGGCUGCAGUCGAGGAUCUUCGUCAAUGGGCGCAAGCCUGAACGAGCGACGCCGCGUGUGCGAUGAAGGCCUUCGGGUUGUAAAGCACUGUCGAGGGGGAUCAAGGUGCGCAAGUGCUUGAUUGAUCCCUGGAGGAAGCACGGGCUAAGUUCGUGCCAGCAGCCGCGGUAAGACGAACCGUGCGAACGUUGUUCGGAAUCACUGGGCUUAAAGGGCGCGUAGGCGGCAGGGUAGGUCGGGGGUGAAAUCCCACAGCUUAACUGUGGAAGAGCCUCCGAUACCGUCUUGC